UUUUAUGGAGAGUUUGAUCCUGGCUCAGGAUGAACGCUGGCGGCGUGCCUAAUACAUGCAAGUCGAGCGAACAGAUAAGGAGCUUGCUCCUUUGACGUUAGCGGCGG
rnacentral:rRNA from 1 species